UACAGAGGUGGCAAGCGUUGUUCGGAAUUACUGGGCGUAAAGGGCGCGUAGGCGGUCUUUUAAGUCUUGUGUGAAAUCCCUCGGCUCAACUGAGGAACUGCACGGGAUACUGGAAGACUUGAGUUCGGGAGAGGGAAGCGGAAUUCCGGGUGUAGCGGUGAAAUGCGUAGAUAUCCGGAGGAACACCGGUGGCGAAGGCGGCUUCCUGGACCGAUUACUGACGCUGAGACGCGAAAGCGUGGGGAGCAAACAGG
rnacentral:rRNA from 1 species